rnacentral:rRNA from 1 species
AGUGAACGCUGGCGAUAGGCCUAACACAUGCAAGUCGAACGGCAGCACAGUAAGAGCCUGCUCUUACGGGUGGCGAGUGGCGGACGGGUGAGGAAUACAUCGGAAUCUACUUUUUCGUGGGGGAUAACGUAGGGAAACUUACGCUAAUACCGCAUCCGACCUACGGGUGAAAGCAGGGGAUCUUCGGACCUUUCGCGAUUGAAUGAGCCGCUGUCGGAUUAGCUAGUUGGCGGGGUAAAGGCCCACCAAGGCGACGAUCCGUAGCUGGUCUGAGAGGAUGAUCAGCCACACUGGAACUGAGACACGGUCCAGACUCCUACGGGAGGCAGCAGUGGGGAAUAUUGGACAAUGGGCGCAAGCCUGAUCCAGCCAUACCGCGUGGGUGAAGAAGGCCUUCGGGUUGUAAAGCCCUUUUGUUGGGAAAGAAAAGCAGCAGGUUAAUACCCCGCUGUUCUGACGGUACCCAAAGAAUAAGCACCGGCUAACUUCGUG